UGUUCUUUCACCGUACCUGGUGCCGGUUUAAAAGCCGGAGAAUAGGGAAGUACGUGAGAAUCGUACACUGUACCCGCAACUGUAAGAACGGAUUGCUUCCGUAGCUGUGCCAUGGCUCCAUGGCAGGGUGAAGGAAGUUCCCGCAAGUCACUGCGAAUGGUUUCUGCCCUGGAAAUCCGCGGGAAGGCUUUGGGAAGAGUUGACCGUUGAAAGUCAGGAGACCUGCCAGGUAUAUGCAAUAAGUA
rnacentral:ncRNA from 20 species